UACGUAGGGGGCGAGCGUUGUCCGGAUUCAUUGGGCGUAAAGAGCUCGUAGGCGGCUUGUCGCGUCGACUGUGAAAACCCGCGGCUCAACUGUGGGCUUGCAGUCGAUACGGGCAGGCUGGAGUUCGGUAGGGGAGACUGGAAUUCCUGGUGUAGCGGUGAAAUGCGUAGAUAUCUGGAGGAGCACCGGUGGCGAAGGCGGCAUCCUGGACCAACACUGACACUGAGGAGCGAAAGCCAGGGGAGCAAACGGG
rnacentral:rRNA from 1 species